AGAGUUUGAUCCUGGCUCAGGAUGAACGCUAGCGGCAGGCUUAAUACAUGCAAGUCGAACGGUAACAGGUGUAGCAAUACAUGCUGACGAGUGGCAGACGGGUGAGGAACACGUACGCAAUCUUCCUCUUACUGGGGCACAACCCGAAGAAAUUCAGGCUAAUUCCCCAUAACAUUGUGUGAGGGCAUCUGAGCACAAUUAAAACUCCGGUGGUAAGAGAUGAGCGUGCGUCUGAUUAGCUUGUUGGUGAGGUAACGGCUUACCAAGGCAACGAUCAGUAACUGGUGUGAGAGCACGACCAGUCACACGGGCACUGAGAUACGGGCCCGACUCCUACGGGAGGCACCAGUAAGGAAUAUUGGUCAAUGGACGCAAGUCUGAACCAGCCAUGCCGCGUGCAGGAUGAAGGCCCUCUGGGUUGUAAA
rnacentral:rRNA from 1 species